GUGGGCUACGGGGAUAUGCGUCCACAAACGAUGCUAGGUAAAUUCGUUGGGUGCUUAUGUGCCGUUGCUGGAGUUCUUACGAUCGCACUUCCAGUUCCUGUGAUUGUUUCCAAU
rfam:Echinococcus multilocularis genomic scaffold, pathogen_EmW_scaffold_02